ACUUAGUACACUUGUUCCCUAUGAUAUGAUCUUUCUAAUUUUAAUGCCAAAUUAGAGAUUUUCCCCCAUUUUCACAGUCCACUGAACAUAGGAAAUGAUAGUGCGGAUGGGGCAUCCAUGUACUGGAGACACAUUCUUGUUUGAAGUUUAGUAUAGCAUCCAUUUUUACUGAACUAGUACACAUUUUUGUGUAGGGGCCAUCUGAAGGUGGAAUGCAGGAUUUCUCAUUGUAUAGAAGACUUGUUGGUGGUUGCAGCUAUUUUCUGCUCUUAGGUUGGAUUGUUAUCUCUUUGACACAUUCCCAAUUUUUUAAGAUGCUUUCCUAUAAUUAACGUCUGAUACAGUAUGAUAUGAUGUUGUGUAAUGCCCAAUAUACACUACAUAAAGUACAUUAAGUAUUGCUUCAGAUUACACUAAUUGAUAUUCAUCCAAAAAACAUGACACACUGUGAUUAAACAACAACAUAAUAAUGAUAACCUUGAUCAAUAAGUCAUGUUAAAUAAAAAGAAAGAUUUGAAAGACAUUUCCUAAGUUUAUUAAUAGUAUUACUUUGAGAACAAUACUUUUACCUUUGUUGAUAAGGAGCAAAAGAGACCAGAGUGACAGUCAAACUUAUAAAUCCAAAAUUAAAUUGACAACACCAUGGCUAAACAUUUGAAGGGAAGACAUAAAUUGAAUGAGAAGAAACUUGCAUUCAUUCGUUUUAUAAUGGUAGUCCAUCGGAGGCUGUUGUUGGUUAUCAUAUUAGCUUUAGAAUUGUAAACCUGGUACAUUUAAAGAAUAACACAAAAUACAUAAAAUAUAACUUGCUUUAUUGUGAAAGUCUUCAGUUGUGUCAAAACCAUUUGAUAUUUUUGUCAAAUCUCUGACAUUUUUGUCAAAGGUUUAGAAAACAAUGAAGAAAAAUCCCUUAAAAUGAUAAAAACUAGAGGCUCUAAAGAGCCAAUGUCACUCACCUCGAUAUAUACAAAAAACAUACCCAAAUGAUGGUUUGGUUGUUAUUUGCCAUAAAGUUUCAGAAGAUAAGAUUUUUGUAAAAGUUAACGGAUGACAACAGAUACAUGGUGACAACAAUAGCUCAAACUAACCCUUUUGGCCAGAUGAGCUUAAAAGUGAAUAAACAGAAGAAAAAAAUACAUUCUGCUGGUUAACUUCUAUAAAACUGUAUAUAAAAGUGCAUAAACACAUCUUUUGAUGCAAAAAAAUGAUUAUGAUCAUUUACAAAAUUAAAAAAACAUGAUUAUUAUCAUAACAAAAUAAUAAAAACAAAAUUUAUAUCAUCUCAUAUGCAUAAAGAAAAUUAUACAUUCAAACAAGAAAAUUAUCUAAAGUGUAAAAAAAAAAACCAAAAACAAUAUUCUGUAUAACUUCUUAUGCAUAUAAAAAUAUACAAGUACAAUCUAACCUACACCAGAGUCAUAUAAAAGAAGGUAUAGAUGUACCAAAAAUUCAAAAAACAGUUGAAAGUCGAUUUGAUUGAAGAAACUAUCAAAUGUUACUUGGUCCUGAAUUCUACACCUACAUAAGAAAUAUUUAAAGCAGUAUCUGUAUCCAUAUUUGCAUUGUCUCCAAUAAAGAUGAACAGUACUCAUAAUCAGACAGAUGUUUUAAAUGAAGCAACACAUAUCUGUCUGACAUGUCAAAUAAUGGACCAAAGGUUCUUUAUAUUGAUAUUGAUGUGUCAGGUUAAGCACCAUAGAUACUAAGACUUAUAGUUCAAAUAAAGGUACUAGUAUUUAGACUAGUGUGUUAAAUGAAGGCCAUGACUUCAUUAUUUAGACUGCCCUAUCAAAUAAAGCACCAAAGAUAAAGUUAUUUCAGACUGAACUUCGAAAUAAAGCAUCACAGGUACUGAAAAAUGUAAAAAGCUGCCACUACCAACUAUUAAAUGCUUCCUGAAAUGAAAAUUUAUUGAGAGAAAACAACUUUCUUUCAAGGGUUAAAAAUACUAGUAUGCUUUGAGGAACAAAUAAACAUGUAUUAAUAUUAUGCAAAUGUUUCAGCUAAAUAAUUGUGUAUAUACAAAUGUAUAGGUCAAAGUGGGAUACCAUCCUGAAACCAACUCUUGAAAUAAUUAAAUUUUUAGUAAGCAUCCUUGACCUUUAACCUAUUGACUCUAAAAACAAUAGAAUUUUCAACAUUACCUAUAUCUACCAUCUGUAUAAGUUUCGUACAAGCAAACAAGGGAAGUAAAGGCUACAAUACAGAAUCCAUUAUUUCAAUUUUUUAGUUACAAUAACCUUGACCUUGAGCUUUAACCUCUUAACCAAUAGGAAGCUUGAAUUCAAAUGAGAUUUACAAUACAGAUCUUGGAAAAACACAUUAUAACAUUUGUAGUUGGUAACACUUCUCAUCUAUUAUACACUGUACUUGAAGCUUUCUGGGGUGUUCUAGAAAAAGUGCUUUCCUUUCAUAUAAUCAUUGUUUUAUACUAUAAUUUUGGAAGAGUGAAUCUGCAGUAUUUCUGUCUAAUUAUUCAAUGAUGUAACAAUAUAAAGGCGUUCACAGAAAUGUUUGGAAUAGGAUUUUUCAAAAAGUUCACUCAAUUGUAUUUUAGACUACAUGAAAAUUUAGGCCUAAAAGGACAGAGCCAGCAGUAAUUUUUGUUAUAAAACUUGAAAGAACCCAACAUAUUGUCUGCUAUAUGGGGAAAUUGGGGCCACCUCACUGAAUCUACCUCUUCCAAAACUAAUAAGAUCAACACAUUUCCAAAAAUUAAAAAAACCUUGCAUUAAAAAUUAUCAUGAUAAAUUUCUGUCGAGUGAUGUACAUCGUUCAUGAGUUCUUCUUAUAAUAAGCAGGUAACCUAUAAUACUGGAUUAUUAAAAUUGCUGCCACAAAAUGUCCUGUCAAUUUUGAAAUCAUUGCAUAUUCUAAAUUUUCAUAUAGCCUGAACAAACAAUGAAACAUAAACUCUCAGUAUUGCUUACUGGUUCUAUCGAUCUUAUAUUCAUUUAACACUAAGUCAAUAAUUCCCACAUACAUAUCUGACUAUCAAAACCGCCAAACUUGACAGUAAUAUGAUGAGCUAAUACAGAAAUGGUGCUGCAUGGGAAAAUCACUGCUUUUGAAUACAUUUUUUCAUUGUCCAUUUAUGUCGUUUGAAAGUCAAAUAUUUAUUUUGGUCCAUUCAAAUAUUUUAAAACAAAAAUUCUAAAAAUAGUUAAAAUGCCAGUUUUGGUAACAAGAAUUUAUAUAAAUAGUAAAAAUUACAGAUUUAUUGCAGCAAGUCUUAUUAUAUUGCACUCUUACCAAAUUAAAAAAUAAACACAUAUUUUUUCAGAAUUUACAUUCUUAUCACAGGAAUACACAUAUAGUAUUAAAGAUAAUGCUGAUAUGGGAUAUUGAUUAUGUGUAUUUACAAUCAUUCUAAAUACAAGAUUACCAAAUAAAAAACAUAGUGCAUUAUAUACAGUAUUUUAUAUGUACAAGUAAAAAAAUAGUGAACUAUAUAUAGUGGUUGUAUGUACAUGUUUUAAUAUAGAGCAUAAUAUGUUGAGUAUAUUUAUAUCAUAUGUUUAGUAGUAAAAACUGUAGUUUUGCAUAUUUGAUAAAUAGCCUGCUGUUUAAUCCAUAUCGCGCAACUUUGAUGCGCACCCUUCAUCAUAUACCCCUACUUUUUUUUUUUUUUUUUAUUUUUUUUCAAUAACGUCAGUUUUGUAUUUUUUUGGCUUAAGAAAAAUUUUCCUCAAAAUAGGUCCAAUAGAACGGUCAUUUGACCGUGACGCAAUUCAUUGAAUGACGUCAUUGUUUGGUAUGUGACGUCACGAACGUCAAGUUUUUAUAUUUUUUGGCACACUAAAUAAAACUAUAAAAAAUACAAAUCACACAAAAAAAUACAUAAAAAUUAACAAGUAAAGACUUGCGUUACAAUUUUGUUGUAUUUUACAAUCAAAAUAAAUCUCAUAUGUAAGUUUUAAUAUUAUACAUUCUGUUCAUUAGUCAAAAGGGAGUUGACAUAAGUACUACCUUUUUUUAAUCAUGCCAUGAACAAAUCUUGCUUGUUUCUUGCUAAAAAAAACCUUAUAAACUAAUAUGACAAAGAAUAACCGAUGAUUCAUUUGAUCACUUCCUGCUACAGAUUCAAUAUUUUGGUCACCUCUGUAAAAGAAGUGUUGAAGAUUACCGAUUUUCAAUUACUAAGAAUAUAAAAUCCCUGCAACAGUUUUUCCAUACAUAUUUUUGCCUUUAUAGCUUACACUUUUGAUCAUUAAGCCUAAAGCUGACACUUUUAAUCAUAAAAGCCUAAAGCUGACACUUUUGAUCAUUAAAGCUUUGUUUAAUAUUCUGGCAAAGGAACCUAUGAAAAUACUAACAAGAGGCUGUCACAAUGACAGCAAACCGGAUUUAUUAAUAUUUAUUCGUGUCCUGGCAAUAUCACAAGAACCAUUACUGAUGAAUGGUGAAAGUGAAAAUCAUCAAUAUCAAAUUUGACCUCCAUUUUGUCAUCAGUAUCAACAUAUUAAAAUUUGAAAAGCUUGGAUUGAAUGGUUCAUGAGUAAAUGCAACAACGUGAAUGGAAACGCCAUUUUACAAUCUUUCAAGAAACAUUACGCCUGAACGGUAAAAGUCAAAAUCGUCAUUAUUGAACUUGACCUCUAUUUUGUCAUCAGUAACAACAUAUAAAAAUUUCA
rnacentral:lncRNA from 1 species